ensembl:misc_RNA 7SK 7SK RNA
GGACAUGACAUCACGAUUUGUUGGAGACAACUGCUCUUCUUUCCAGGAAAGUCGGAUAUUGAUCACCGUUGAUUCAGCUGAUCUGGCUGGCUAGGUGGGUGUCCCCUUCCUCCCUCAGGUGAUCCAUGCACAUUCCUCCCAAAGCUGCGCACUCAGUCAAAGAGGACAACCACUCCCCAUAGAAAAGGACCACGCCUCGUCAAUAAUACAGAAGUAGCUGAGUUCCCCUGCUAGAACCUCCAAACAAGCUCUCAAUUGAGGGAAGUCUUGCAGGUAGUCCUUCACAAAUACCCACAUCAGAAAAAGGGAAUGAGCUUAAAUAACUAACCUAAUGU